UACAGAGGUCCCAAGCGUUGUUCGGAUUCACUGGGCGUAAAGGGUGCGUAGGCGGCAGGGUAAGUCUGGUGUGAAAGGUUCGGGCUCAACUCGGAAAUGGCAUCAGAUACUAUCUUGCUUGAGGGUCGGAGAGGAGACUGGAAUUCUCGGUGUAGCAGUGAAAUGCGUAGAUAUCGAGAGGAACGCCAGUGGCGAAAGCGAGUCUCUGGACGAUUCCUGACGCUGAGGCACGAAGGCUAGGGGAGCAAACAGG
rnacentral:misc_RNA from 1 species